UCCUGUAGACACUUCCUGUCUUUUAUUAAUCUGUGUUACCUGUGCAGAACUUUUAUCCUCCUGUACAGGCCUGUUAAUGUUGUCAUGUCCAGUGUUUGCUGACUUUCUAUUAUACUCAUCCUGAACUUGACCUUGAGCUGCUGCUGUCUGAGGUCUGCUAUCACCUUUAAUGCCUUUGUAUUUGUCCAGAACCUCUAAACUAGGUGAUGACUCCUGCAUAUCAAGAUUAAUAUAUGUAUUUUGAGUAGGAAUAGUAAUUAUACCUGCCUGUUUGGUGGACUGAUCUGCUUGGCUGGUAUUGUCUCUAGGAGCCUGUGUUUGAUUAUUGUUCCUUUCUCCUUUUGUGUUUGCCACUGAUCAUCUUGUGGAUACUGCAUGUGCUCCUGAUCUCUUUGCUGCUUAUAAUGUUGAUUAUUAUCUUCCUUCUGCUCACUUUCUUUAUAACCCUUAGAUUGUUGCGGAUUAUUAUCCUUAUCUUUAGUAUGCUUGUUCCUCAC
rnacentral:lncRNA from 1 species